AGUGAACGCUGGCGGUAGACCUAACACAUGCAAGUCGAACGGCAGCACAGUAAGAGCUUGCUCUUACGGGUGGCGAGUGGCGGACGGGUGAGGAAUACAUCGGAAUCUACUUUUUCGUGGGGGAUAACGUAGGGAAACUUACGCUAAUACCGCAUACGACCUACGGGUGAAAGCAGGGGAUCUUCGGACCUUGCGCGAUUGAAUGAGCCGAUGUCGGAUUAGCUAGUUGGCGGGGUAAAGGCCCACCAAGGCGACGAUCCGUAGCUGGUCUGAGAGGAUGAUCAGCCACACUGGAACUGAGACACGGUCCAGACUCCUACGGGAGGCAGCAGUGGGGAAUAUUAGACAAUGGGCGCAAGCCUGAUCCAGCCAUACCGCGUGGGUGAAGAAGGCCUUCGGGUUGUAAAGCCCUUUUGUUGGGAAAGAAAAGCAGCAGGUUAAUACCCCGCUGUUCUGACGGUACCCAAAGAAUAAGCACCGGCUAACUUCGUG
rnacentral:rRNA from 1 species